AGUAUAUUUUUCAGUUUGUUGCUAACAACCUUGAUCAAUACCCUGCAAAGUACAUGCUUCUAGGGAAACAAACAAUAGGCCUCGUCAAUUUUUCAACAGGUUUUGUAAUCCAGAAAAGGCAACACGUUUGUUGGCUUAAGCGAUAGGAAAUGGAGGAAGAAGCCCUGAAAAAAAGCAGUAAAAUCUAUGAGGGAAGUGCUCAACGGGCCAUUUAGAAGAGGACACAGCCGCAGAAUCAACUGUUACAGAGGAGUGAAAUGUUGCAAUUAGGCCACUGCACUUGGCAGGUUCAGGGAAGUAGAGGGGCAGAAUUCUAAUUGCAGCAGUGAAUUGAGAAGUGAAUGAACGGUAAGAAAGUACAGGGAGUAGCGAGUAUUUUUUGAAGCGAACACGUUGUGAAGUAAAGGAAGGAAAAAGGAUGAUAGGCUGAUUUUCAGGAAGAAGGAAAGUUCUUUUAAUUUCCUUCUUUUCUUUUCUUUCUUUUUUAGUUCAUAGACACAAGAGAAAGAGCCACUGGGGCAGGAGAGAUUGAAGAUAAAAGGAAGAAGGAGUACUUGAUAAGGCUAAGUCCCAGAGGAGGGCAGCAGGGACAGGAUCCGGAGCAGAGGGGGCCCAGCUCACUCUGCACAGGAGGAAGUACUCCUCCGAGGACAGUUCAACAAAGAUGGUGGUCAAGAUGCACGAGAACUCAGAGAGAAGUGUGGACUUUGUGCAGGAUGGUUUCCCUUUCUCUGCGGAGGAGGGGCAGGCCACCUGCUGAUGGCGAGAAGGACGGUGACAGGGUCUGUGUGGUGAACUGCAGAGGCCGCUUUGGGGCGUGUGAAAGGACACUGGAGCUGUCACGCGUGGCCAACAGCAGGUGACAGAAAACCUUGCUCAAACUGCCUGGGACGAAAAAGGAACUCCUGGUUCAUGUAGUGAAAAGUCCAAGGCCUGAGCGGCACCUAGGAGUUCAAACAAUGCCAGCAGAACUUGGUUUCUUUCCCCCCCUCUGCUAAUGUUGGCUCCAAUUCUCGGACACCACUGCCCAGUCCCUGACAAGGGAAAAAGGAGUCGUUUUCCUCCCGGAGGAGGGCGUGCCCACGCACUGACAAGGAGCUGGACCAGACCAAUUUGGGCCUUAAACUCAUCCUCCAACCAAUCACCAAGGCCCAGAUUUGGAGUACUCUGAUUGGCUGGCCCCAGGACAUGUGAUCGCCUCUGAUCCAAUCACUGCAGCAGGGGGAUUUCAGCGCGCCGAAGAGCCCGCCCUGCGGACGGUGCGGGGACGGGUUCUAACCCAAUUUCCCUGAAGGCGGAGGGAAGGACGUGUAGUGCCAACCCCAGGCAUUGGUUUAGGACGAGGAGGGCUCGUUAUGUUCUUCGUCAGGUGGAAAGGGGAGCCUUCUGCUGCCCGAGCCAGGGAGGAACUUCGGAUGACUGGCCGUCUGAAACAGCCCCGCCGGCACCGAGGAGAGGAGACAGCAAAAUACGAAUAAAAGGAUUGUGAGGAGGGCCCCAAGAUGAAGAGGGAGGCACAAAGAGGCUGUGUAACGGGUCCAAAGCUCCCUGGAUGGUAAAUGGCAGGGCCAGGAUUCACCUCCAGGAAGUCUGCGUGUAGAUCUCUUGAUAUUUAUAUAUCGAACCCAACUGACAGGUGGGAAAUACGGAGGCUUUGGUCCGGCCAACGGCGAGUCACGGUGCAAUCGGCUUCCCUGGUAACGCAGACAGAGCACGGCCAUAUUCCCUUAAAACGUCGACCGUGGUAUUGCACCCACGUGUCAUGAAUACUCAUGCUUCUGAGCAGCACAGGACAGGGAGCAGGAUGCAGACGAUUUCGGGGAAGGCAUAUGAGUACAAGCUGCGUAUCUCUUAAAAGCAACCCACUGUUCGUUCAGAGCAGCCCUGCAGUCUUGGUCAUUUGGUGUCUUAGAACCUGACCCUCCGUGCAUCUUUUACCCCAAAGCAAAAGGGGCUGGUGGAACACAGAAGGGAAGCUGUAUGCCGGUAGGUGAAACUCUUGUCUCAUUUAGCAAACCUGCACAUUCCAUGUUCUCAGUCUCCACGUGCAGGAGGGUACCUUCGUCCAAGCUUCAACAGCCCUUGUGUCCUGAUGGGGGGCGUGGGAAGGCGCAGCCCAGUCCUCUCCUCCUCCCCUCGACGCCCCGGCUCCUUGGUGGGAGAACACAUUCCACACGGUUCCUUGUGCCGCAAGUUUACCAGCGUCCGCCCGGGGCGUGGACCCGGUGGGCCAGCUGCCCCAUUGGGGGUCAGGCGUAAGGAAGCCCACUCUCCCACAGACAGAAGCCACAUUCUCCAGGAGUGGCUUUGUCUAUAAUAAAGGUAGUGUCCUGAUGUGCCAUCAGCCUGAUUCUCUCUGUCUGAAUUGAAUUACCUGUAUUUAAUUGAAUUUCUGAUCCUUUCCACUGAAAAUUUUGCAGAGCUAAGAGGAAACACAAGUUUGCCUCCCUGGGCUAUUUGCAAGAACCCUAAACGUGUAUCUGCUUUAACGGAGAUAGUUAAACAAGGAAUUUAGCUGGGCAAGACUUGUGCCCCUACACUGUGAGCUGUUACCAAGGCAGCAGAAUUGUGGCAGCACCGAGCCCCCUUCCUGUGUGCAGAACACACACAGCAGGAACCCUUGUAAAAAAUAUAUAUAUAACUUAUAUAUAUACAAGUGUGAGGAUUCAGGCCAAGAUGACAACCACGGUUUGGACCACUGUCGUAGAGUGUGGCGUGUGUGGUGGUCUGAGAACGGUCUUCAUGGCCGGUCCCCCCUCUUCCCUUUCUGUCUGUGCCUUCUUUUACUGGGAAUCAAACUAAAAAGUGACGUGGUCUCCCAAUUUUGCUGCCACACUCAGGACGUUUGAGUACUAAUAAGAUCGUAAUCCGUGAAGAAUGGCGAAUGGCUGAGUCAGUCAUGCCCUCAUAAUCGAGGCAAGUGCUCUAUUCUAGUUUCCGAGCCCCGGAUAUCCUCAUACUGCUCUGGGCUUCUGUCACUCUUGGCCUGAAGCCCCCCUGAGAGGGAAGAGGCUUCAGAAAUACGCUGGGUGUGAGUGACCUGAUUCUCAAAGGCCGCCGGCCCCCUCUUCAGUCUGGAAACUUCUAGAGGCUCCUGAAUGUCCAAAUGCCCGGGAAAGUCAUCGAUUUAGACACACGACUGAGUUUAUACGUGUGCACGUGGCAGAUAUAAUGUGGGAGGGGCAUAUAUUCUAGUUGGAGGAUUACAGUAGUACAUAAAGUAUUAGUAAUAAUAGAGGGGGAUAGAGCCUGAUCAGCAAGCACUGAGAGUCAGAGGAAAAUUAGGACAAUAAAUAUUUGAGGGGAUUGGGGAUUUGGGGGGAAAGAUCCCAUCAAGCUGGAGGGAUCAGAGAAAGAUUUUAAGAACGGGCCUUGCAGAGUGGAUAAAAUGAAGAUUUGCAUGUAGGGAAAGGAAAGCUGUGCUACCCAGGGGAAUGAAGACCCCUGCCGUCCGCCUCCCUGUUGUCAACACCGGCCUGGUAGGUGUCUUCCAACCUUUCCAACGUGUGGGGCACCAGCUCCGUGCAGAGUAUUUUGG